UACGUAGGGUGCAAGCGUUGUCCGGAAUUAUUGGGCGUAAAGAGCUCGUAGGCGGUUUGUCGCGUCUGCUGUGAAAACUCAGGGCUUAACCCUGAGCCUGCAGUGGGUACGGGCAGACUAGAGUGUGGUAGGGGGAGAUCGGAAUUCCUGGUGUAGCGGUGGAAUGCGCAGGAUAUCAGGAGGAACACCGGUGGCGAAGGCGGAUCUCGUGGG
rnacentral:rRNA from 1 species